CAGCAUCUGGAGACACAAGAAUCAAGAACACGUAAGCACAGAAAGCGUUCAAAAAGCAAUAUACCGCAUGAAAAACUAGAAAAAUAAGACGUUCCAAAACAAAGGAUAAAAGAAGUGCAAAACAAUUACGAAAAAAUAACCCCCAUUCCAACUGCCAGCAAGAUCUUUCAUCCUUGCCCUUCCUGCUCUUAAUUUUGGAAGCUGAUAACACAGCAUCUAAAAUAAUGAAGAGAAAAAGAAUCAUAUCAUGCUCAGUGACAUUAACUACACAGGAUCCUAAAAACUCAAAAACUAAAGAAUUUUGAGUGAUACAAUAAGAACCAGGACAGCAAGUCUCCUUGGAGUUGAGGCAUAAAAUUGAAUAUCCAAGAGACCUUGAUCAAACAAAACCAUAAAAAGAUAUUGAAAGGAAAAAAUCCUAGAGGCCCUAAAGUUCACAAUCCAAGACAAUGAAACAUAAUUUCCAUAUGCAUUAGUCAACCGAACUUCAAAAACCAGAAAAUAUCUGUGGCUACCUACAAUCACAAAAUACAUACAGAAUUCCGAGCACAAACAAGAGAAAAAUGUCUGCAUAUAAGAUUAUGACCCCAGCUAGCAAGUGACAUCCACAAUCUUUCGACACUAGCAAGUGACCACUAGAAUCUUUCAAAACCUGACAACAACCAUACAAACCAUACUUUAUCUCAAGUCUUCAAUGUGAGACAAACAAAAAGGGUCAAAAGUUAUAUCAUGCUCGGUACCAAUACAAAAUUCCCCAAAAUCAAGUAGUUUUGAGAGAUACGAAAAACCAGGAAGCAAAAUCUCCUUGAAAUCAGAGUGUAGACUUUCAUCUUAUAUGCUGAUGGUAGAAUUUCAAGAUUGCUGUUGUCAACAACAACCUACAAAAACCAUGUGUCAAGCCAAAAAACAAGAGAAAUUGAUAAACAGAAAAAGGUCGAUAGUGACGAUCCUGCAAAGAAUGAAAAAGAACACAAGAGAAGAAAAUGAAGACUUAAAAAUUUUCCCCAUUAUAGAAUGGCCAGCCAAGAACCACUGCAAAUAAAACCCAUUAUCAAGCAAGAAGGAGGUCCAACAAAAAUCCAACUGCUGCAAGAUCCUUUAUACUCGUCCUUUUAACUAACCCCAAACAGCGUCUGAAUGAAAAAAUAAAGGGUCAAAGGUCGUAUCAGGCUCAAUACCAAUACAUGAUCCUCCAAAAUCAAGUAUUCUUGACAUAUAUGAACGGGAAGCAAACCUCCUUAAAAGUUGAGACAGAAAUCCAAACCAAUGGAAGUCUUUAAAACCAAGAGAUCCAAUCAAUACCUCCUAGACGAACAAUCUAAAUUCACCAACACCAAAUUUAAAUUGAAACAAUCUCAGUGAAAAAUGAAGAUAGGUGGAGAUAUAAAAGUUACAAGACCCCUUACCACCCACAGCUUCCAAAUCUGUCAUCCUUGUCAUUUCUUCUUCAGGCCAUGGCCAUAUACCAUCUCCUUAUCUCUUCUUUCUAACCGCAUUCACAAAAAAAAGUACUAAUAAUCUUUUAUCUCCUGACGUAUUACUAAUUAACUUCAAGAGACAAAAAUUAUUCACAACGUGGAAGGAGAUGCAUUCCUAGUAACAGUGGCGAUCACGGCCGUGAGGAAGUUCAAGGAUAAGGAAAACCGGCAACAACACUGCAGGCAGAAAGCGUAUAUUGAAAUAUCUUCCAAAGUUCCAAACCAAAACAAGAACUAAGAACUUAAGAACCAUCGGUCCAUCCGCACAACAUAAUUAACUGAAAAGAGAGCCAAUACUC
rnacentral:lncRNA from 1 species